GACGAACGCUGGCGGCGUGCUUAACACAUGCAAGUCGAACGGAAAGGCCCUGCUUUUGUGGGGUGCUCGAGUGGCGAACGGGUGAGUAACACGUGAGUAACCUGCCCUUGACUUUGGGAUAACUUCAGGAAACUGGGGCUAAUACCGGAUAGGAGCUCCUGCUGCAUGGUGGGGGUUGGAAAGUUUCGGCGGUUGGGGAUGGACUCGCGGCUUAUCAGCUUGUUGGUGGGGUAGUGGCUUACCAAGGCUUUGACGGGUAGCCGGCCUGCGAGGGUGACCGGCCACAUUGGGACGGAGAUACGGCCCAGACUCCUACGGGAGGCAGCAGUGCGGAAUAUUGCACAAUGGGCGGAAGCCUGAUGCAGCAACGCCGCGUGCGGGAUGACGGCCUUCGGGUUGUAAACCGCUUUCGCCUGUGACGAAGCGUGAGUGACGGUAAUGGGUAAAGAAGCACCGGCUAACUACGUG
rnacentral:rRNA from 1 species